GCACAAACGUGCAAGCUAAGAUAUAGCAGAAUAAACGUAGAGCUAUAACUAUCAGAGUUUUUACAGUGGGAUCACGUCCUAAAAGGAAAAGAUGUCAAGUGGAUGACAGCGGAUAGACCAAUGUACAUAAAGAAUAAGCAACAGAUAUAUUUGGAACGUAAACAAAACUAUACCAUGCAGCAAAUAACAUGAAUUUAAAACGAUGGGGGAAAUAGUGUUCAGUUUGCACGUGCCUGUCCGUAUUCGCAUGUAUGUAUGUGCUCAAGUUCUCGACCCAAACAACCUAAAGACACCCAUACAUUUAUGCCAGAGGAAAAAUGAAUUGGAGGCUUAUAAAUUUAAACAAGGGCCAUGCAAGUCAGAAAUGUUUCCUUGAUGCAAGUUGACGCAAGUAAAAGACAAUUUAAACGUGGACGAACGUCAACAUAUAAGCAAAUAGCUUCAAGAAGAAAAGUCUUACCUUUCUUGACGUCACAUACAAGUAUUGCGCAAUCUGAGAAACCUGGCAAAGACUCCCAACGAUAAACUCGUAUGUUAUGACUUUGCACGAAACAGACUUUUCAACGCGUGAAUAUAUUGGGGUUUAUAUACCACUUGUUGUUUAAAUGCAAGUUUUGAAAGAUUGUCUGAAUUUUUCGGUAGCGUCAUGGAUGUUGAUGAUGUUAGAAUGCUCAAGUGUCAUAUUCAAACGAACAAAGGUUAAUCAUAUCUUCAUUUAAUUUCAAACACCGCACUCCAUAAAAUAUUCAAAGGUUAGUCAUGUCAUACUUCUAUUUUUGGUCUGAAAGUUCUACUUUUGAGUUCAACUAAAAUAUCCCUUAUUAUAUAAUAUUAUUUGAGUUCAACUAAAAUAUAAUUUUUGCGCAAAAGGUUGGCCUUAUACGUCCGUAAUGAG